CAAAAACUAAAAUGAACAAAAUAGCAUUUUAUCUUUUGAAAAUUUUAAUUUUUUUAUUUUUCAAAAUUUGAAAUCUAUCCCCAAAACCUCAUUUCUCAACUCUAAACCCUAAACCCUAAACUCUAAACCCUAAACUAUAAAACCUAAACCCUAAACUCUAAACUCUAAACCCUAAAUCCUAAACUCUAAACCCUAAACCCUAAACUCUAAACCCUAAACCCUAAACCUUAAGUUUGUGACUUUUGAUAAAACAUUAAGUGCUAUUUUUGUGACUUUUGACCUUGAGUGAUAGUUUGGGAACAAAAAAUUGAUUUAGUGAUAUUUUUGUCUUUUUCUCUAUUUUAAAUUCACAACGUGCGCGAAUACAACAUGUGGUUGGUAUAUGCAUUCCCAGUUUCGGUUAAAAGCAACCCGAACCGUGUCUAAUCUAACAUUGAUGAUUAAAUAAUUGGGCUUGAAAGCUAAUGUUGGGCCUAUUCUUAUCGAUAGUAGAUAGGGUAGUUGUGUCUUUGGGCUUUUCUUUUAGGGUUCCGAAGAUCUAUUUCUGCUCCAUUUCUACUCUCGCUAGAGAUUUCGUCUUCUUCGUUCGAACGACUCAUCCUUCAUUGAUCCCGGAUUGGACUUGGGGGAAGAUCUCCGUCGUUUUCCGAUCUUAUCAAUGCCGGUAUGAUUCUCCGUCACCUCUUUCAUUUAUUUUUGGUUUCUCACACGCGGCCAGCUAACUAACUUUAGCUAUUGAUUUAUAGAUCGACAAGAUCUUCAAAGAUGACGCUAGUGAGGAGAAAGGAGAACGUGCUAGGAUGGUGAGCUUCUUUUAUCGAGGCAUUCAGAUUCACUCUACUGUACUUAAUCUGAUUUGCUUUGCUUUUUUUUUAGGCAUCGUUUAUUGGGGCGAUGGCUGUUGCUGAUCUUGUUAAGUCUACCUUAGGUCCUAAGGGAAUGGUAACUUCACAUCUCCAAAGUUUAAGAACUCUCUGUAAACUUCGACUUCAGUUUAUUGAAUUGUUUCUCAAUCUUGUUUUGUUCAUUAGGAUAAAAUCUUGCAAUCUACUGGUAGAGGUCACUCGGUCACUGUCACUAACGAUGGUGCGACUAUUCUCAAGUCACUUCACAUUGACAACCCCGCUGCUAAAGUUCUUGUUGGUAUGUAUAGCCAGCAACAUAUCCUCGCUUAAAAGCUUUUAAAAUUCUUUUUUUUUUGUGCUCAUUUCUUGUGUUUUGUUUAAUAAUCUUCAGACAUCUCGAAAGUUCAAGAUGAUGAGGUUGGUGAUGGGACUACUUCUGUUGUUGUUUUGGCUGGGGAGCUUCUUAGGGAAGCUGAAAAGCUUGUUACGGCUAAGAUUCACCCCAUGACGAUCAUAGCAGGUAGGCUUGUAAAGAUGGUAAACUUGUAUUAUUAGCUUCUUUUCCUUAUGAAAAUGAUGUCUAAUUUUUUUUUCUUGUUUCUUAGGUUACAGAAUGGCUGCCGAAUGUGCUCGUGAUGCUUUACUGAAAAGAGUAAUUGAUAAUAAGGAGAACGCAGGUAUAUUAUUAUUAAGAUGUCAUUCUCUUUUUUUUUGUGUGAUUUUCUUCGAUGAUGAGUUGGAGCAAUGUUUUCCUUACAGUAUUGUGUUUUUGUGUCAAUGCAGAGAAGUUUAGGUCAGACUUGAUGAAGAUUGCAAUGACUACGUUAUGCUCUAAAAUUCUCUCGCAAGACAAGGAACAUUUUGCAGAAAUGGCCGUGGAUGCUGUUUUCAGGCUAAAGGUUCCAUCUCUGCCUCUUUUAAACUCAGUCAGCAAUUGUGUUCCUUCCUACUCUUUCUAUGGAAUUUCAUGUGUUAUUUCAAAGAGAGGUCAUGGUUUCGUUUUGGAGUGUUAUAUGAUUUGUUUCUGACAUUCUGGUGCUGUCUUUCAAACAGGGAAGCACAAACUUGGAAGCUAUUCAAAUCAUCAAAAAACCAGGAGGUUCCUUGAGGGAUUCCUUUUUGGAUGAAGGGUAAGAAACCACUUGUGCCACUUUUUUGACACCUGUUCAAAAUUUGUUUCUGUUUGCUAUUGAUCUCUGUUUAGUAUUCAUGUGUUUAUGGUAAUCAUGUCGUGUCUCUGUUUCUGUUCUUUUACUGAGCUUGUCCACCUUAAUUAAGUAUAGCCUUGCUUUAGAAUGAUGAUAGGCGUUAUGUUAUCUUAUUAUGCUGCGUUCCUUCUCUUGUGCCUCGAGUAACUUUAGCUUCUGACACUUCAACUUAAAUCUAUGCCUAUAGAUUUAUUCUUGACAAGAAGAUCGGAAUCGGGCAGCCAAAGCGCAUAGAGAAUGCAAAGAUCUUGGUAGCGAACACUGCAAUGGACACAGACAAAGUGAAAAUAUACGGUGCACGUGUCCGCGUUGAUUCCAUGACCAAGGUUGCCGAGAUUGAAGGGGCUGAGAAGGAAAAGAUGAAAGACAAGGUGAACAAGAUCCUAGCCCACGGUAUCAACUGCUUUGUUAACAGGCAGUUGAUCUACAAUUUCCCAGAGGAGCUCUUCGCAGAUGCUGGUGUACUUGCUAUAGAGCAUGCCGAUUUUGAAGGAAUAGAGCGUCUUGGUUUGGUUACAGGCGGAGAAAUCGCUUCCACUUUUGACAACCCAGAGUCUGUUAAGCUUGGGCACUGCAAGCUCAUCGAAGAGAUUAUGAUUGGUGAAGACAAGUUGAUCCAUUUCUCUGGUGUUGAGAUGGGCCAGGCGUGUUCAAUUGUCCUAAGGGGUGCUAGGUAUGCUAUUUUCACACGUACUUAAAACACUUAACGGAGAGUUAUCCUGUUUCUAAUUUUGUGUUGUUGCAGUCACCAUGUUUUAGACGAGGCUGAAAGAUCGCUCCAUGAUGCCUUGUGUGUACUCUCGCAAACAGUGAAUGACAGCAGAGUGUUGCUCGGAGGUGGAUGGCCAGAGAUGGUGAUGGCAAAGGAAGUAGACGAACUUGCAAGGAAAACUGCUGGCAAAAAAUCGCAUGCCAUUGAAGCUUUCUCACGGGCUCUAGUGGCUAUACCGACGACAAUCGCUGACAAUGCUGGUUUAGACAGUGCAGAAUUGGUGGCUCAGCUUCGUGCAGAGCACCACAACGAAGGGUGUAACGCUGGAAUCGAUGUCAUCUCUGGAGCUGUAAGUAAACUCUAUAUGCGAAAAAAGGAUUUUGUAUAUGGAUUAGAAUUGAGUUAGUGCUGGUGAAAACAUUGAUUCUUGUACAGGUAGGGGAUAUGGAGGAGAGAGGAAUCUAUGAAGCAUUCAAAGUGAAACAAGCGGUUCUGCUUUCUGCGACAGAAGCAGCUGAGAUGAUACUGCGAGUGGAUGAGAUAAUUACAUGUGCUCCUAGGAGGAGAGAAGACCGGAUGUGAAAUCCAAUACCUGCACCACCUGGUGGGUGAGAGGUUUCGUGAUGAUUUACACGAUCACACCCUCUCCAGUGACUUUGUUCAGUUAUUUAGAUUGUGUUUUGUAUUUGGAUCAGAAAACAGCUUUCAAAUGUUUUAGUGUUUUGCUCCCUAAACUUUUCUCUCUUUUUUGUGUCGUCUCGAAUAUUGUUUUGAUUAUGAUUUUCAGAUGUUUUGACAAAACAUAAGGCCCCAAGCAGGAGUUUGAACUUGUCUCGUCCAUUACUUCUUCUCUGCCACUGUGGCCACCUGCUUCUAAAAUAAUCUGUAUACUUAUUAUUGUUUAUGUUAUAGUCUGAGUAUUAUUUAAAUUUGUAAAUCAUUACAUGUGCUCGUAGUAGUGAAUACAGGAUGUUAAACCAUGUUGGAUAAUUGACCUUCAUAUUCCAGUUUCAGUUAUUUUAUUUUAUUUUUUAUUUUUAUUUUUUUUUGUCAGCAUUCCAGUUUCAGUUAUAGUCAAGAGUAUUAUUCAAAUUUUCAUAUUCCAGUUUCUGUUAUAGUCAAGAGUAUUAUUCAAAUUUGUAGAUCAUUCUAUGUUCUCGUAGUAGUGAAUACAGGAUGUAAAACCAUGUUAGAUAAUUGACCUUCAUAUUCCAUACUUUUUUGAAAGAAGGUAAAGUACAAUUUGUUGAAAAGAAGAAUAAAUCCAGUUUUAAAAGCUGUAUGGAUACAACAACAAAACUCGAAUGAUCAUAUUUGACUAUUUGAAAAGUAUGAUUUCUCUCUUCUCCAGACUCCAAUAUUGUUUUGAUUAUGAUUUCAGAGGUUUUGACAAAAUAUAAGUUCCAAGGGAACUUAUCGUAUAUUACUUCUUCUCGACCACCACCUCCUUCCGGAAUAAUCUGAUUUUUUUAUUACUGUAUGUUAUCGUAUUAUUCAAAUUUGUAGAUCAUUACAUGUCCUCGUAGGAGUGAGCAGGAUGUGAAUUGUGAAACAUGCUUGAUCAUUGAACUUAUACCUGUGCCAUAUAUACUCUUUUAAAAUAAAGUAAAGCGACAAUUUGUAGAUACGAAGAAAAAAAUUUACAUCUAAAAACACAUCUGCUUUUUAAUUACAUGUAGAUGCACUUCUUGCUUUAGAGGCACAUGUGUUGUUUGUCUCUUCAACCCUUCAUAUCAACUAACUAUAUAGUGAUAUUUGUUUGCUCAUCUAGGUGAUCCAUUUGGAUGAAGAUGCAAAUCGAUAUUCGUUUUGUGCAUUAAAAUGUUACAUCCAGAUGGAUCAUCCAACUACAUUUAUGAAAACUCACUUCAACUUCUCACCCAAAUAAGGGUGAGUCUUCACGGAGCAUCUGGGUGAGAACGAGUCUUCAUCAAAAAACAAAAUUUUCGUCAAAACUACAAAAACGUAUUUUCCUGUCAGAACCGGAAAAACACAAUUUUUCGUCGAAACUGAAAAACGCAAUUUCUCGCUAAAAUCGUAAACAUACGGUCUCUUUUCGAUAGGUAAAAGGACAAUUUCGUCCAUUUCGUCCAUCUUUCUCCUCGAAUUCAGAUAAUGUACUCUUCAUGUAAAAUGUGUUCGUUAGUGUAAAGAAACAUAAAAAUAUGUCUUAUAAGGUAAUGCACUCAUAAGAAGAAUGAAAGCAAAUUUUAUACAACAACAAAACUCAGGUGUUAAAAAAAAAUAUAUAUAUAUAUAUAUAUAUACAACAACAACAAAACUCAAGAGUCAAAGAGUACUAUUCGAAUUCGUAGAUCAUUGCAUGUGCUUGUAGGAGUGAAUACAAUAAUGCAUGAUGUAAAACCAUAUUAGAUCAUUGAGCUUAUAUCACCGUGCUCUUUAAAAAGGGUAAAAGUACAAUUUGUAAAAAAGAAGAAUGAAACUAUUUAAAGCUGUAUGGAUAUAUACAACAACAAAACUCGCAUGAUCAUAUCUGAUUAUUUUGUAAAACUGUUAAGGUCAUCCUAUGUAGAUUUCUGUAUUUAAAAAAAGAUAUCAGUCAUCACCUAAAACUACGACGUUGUGGUAGUUUGGUCAACCGACCAAAUACGUUAAAAAAGAGAACAGAUCAUAACAUGGGACCUCAUAAUCUCUAUCUUUAUUCAUACCGACAUAUUUUGAUCAAUUGUCUUACCAGAAAAUUAUGUAGCUUUAUCGAUGAUUUGAAUAACGAAGAUUCAUGGUUUUACAGCUUUAGAUAUUUAUUUACCAACACAGUUAAAAGACACCAAAAGUGCACCAAAUUAACAGAAAAUGCGUAAUAAUAAUAAUAAUGACCCCGCAUGAAAUCAUAGGUUUGAUUUUUUUUUCCCUGAGAAAAACUGUUGUGAAGAAACUUUAUAUAGUCACUAAUCCCACUCCGUAAAGUCCUAUAUUUAAGAAAGGGAAAAUCUCCAAAAUAGCACAUUUCUAAGUUUAUAUCACAAAAAUAGCACUCCAAAACUAAAAUGACCAAAAUAGCAUCUUUCUAAGUUUAUUCUUUGAAAAUUUUAAUUUUUUUAUUUUUCAAAAUUUGAAAUCUUAUCCCCAAAACCUCAUUUCUCAACUCUAAACCCUAAACCCUAAACCCUAAACCCUAAACUCUAAACCCUAAACCCUAAACUCUAAACCUUAAACCCUAAACCCUAAACCCUAAACUCUAAACCCUAAACCCUAAACU
rnacentral:lncRNA from 1 species